CGGGUGGAUGUGCGUUUAUUUAAUCGGGUUAGCGGCAAACUGGUGAAUAACACGUGGGUAACGUACCUUGAGGAGGGGGAUAGCCUCGCGAAAGCGGGAGUAAUACCCCAUACGCCCCUGAUACUGAAAUGUUUCAAGGGGAAAGAUGGCCUCUACUUGUAAGCUAUCACCUUAAGAGCGGCCCGCGGCCUAUCAGGUAGUUGGUAGGGUAAUGGCCUACCAAGCCUAAUACGGGUAGCUGGCCUUAGAGGGUUGUCAGCCACAUCGGGACUGAGACACUGCCCGGACUCCUACGGGAGGCUGCAGUCGAGAAUCUUUCUCAAUGGACGAAAGUCUGAAGAUGCGACGCCGCGUGAAGGAUGAAGGCCUUCGGGUUGUAAACUUCUUUUAUCGGGGAGGAAGGUUUAAGGGUGAACAAUCCUUGAAUUUGACUGUACUCGGUGAAUAAGCCACGGCUAACUCCGUGCCAGCAGCCGCGGUAAUACGGAGGUGGCUAGCGUUACUCGGUUUGACUGGGUGUAAAGGGUCCGCAGGCGGCCAUAUAAGUGAAAGGUGAAAUCCUUCGGCUCAACCGGAGAAUUGCCUUUCAAACUGUUUGGCUUGAGGCUGUAAGAGGAGAGUGGAACUGACAGUGUAAAGGUGAAAUUUGUGGACAUUGUCAGGAACGCCCGUGGGGAAGCCGGCUCUCUGGUACAGACCUGACGCUCAGGGACGAAAGCUAGGGGAGCGAACAGGAUUAGAUACCCUGGUAGUCCUAGCUGUAAACGAUGGGCACUAGGUGUUUGUCCGUUAUGGAUGGGUGCCGAAGGUAACCUGUUAAGUGCCCCACCUGGGGACUACGGCCGCAAGGCUAAAACUCAAAGGAAUUGACGGGGGCCCGCACAAGCGGUGGAACACGUGGUUUAAUUCGAUGCUACGCGAGGAACCUUACCAAGGUUUGACAUGCUGGAAGUAGUAGCCUGAAAAGGCGUCCGAUCGGUAACCAAUCCGAAACCAGCACAGGUGCUGCAUGGCUGUCGUCAGCUCGUGCCGUGAGGUGUUUCCUUAAGUGGAAGAACGAGCGCAACCCUCGCCAUUAGUUGCUAACCAUGGUCUUUAAUCAUGGUGCACUCUACUGGGACUGCCCGCGUUAAGUGGGAGGAAGGCGGGGACGACGUCAAGUCCGCAUGGCCUUUAUAUCUUGGGCUACACACGUGUUACAAUGCCUAGUACAAAGGGAGGCAAAACCGCAAGGUGAAGCAAAUCCCUAAAAAGUAGGCUCAGUUCGGAUUGGGGGCUGCAAUUCGUCCCCAUGAAGCUGGAAUCGCUAGUAAUGGCGCAUCAGCUACGGCGCCGUGAAUACGUUCCCGGGCCUUGUACACACCGCCCGUCAAGCGCUGAAAGUGAGGGGCACCUGAAGCUCCGACGUUUGCCGGAGUCACGGUGAAUUUCGUGAUUGGCGCUAGGUCGUAACAAGGUA
rnacentral:rRNA from 1 species